rnacentral:rRNA from 1 species
ACGGAGGUGGCAAGCGUUGUCCGGAAUUAUUGGGCGUAAAGGGAGCGCAGGUGGGAAAGUAAGUCUGUCUUAAAAGUGCGGGGCUCAACCCCGUGAGGGGAUGGAAACUACUUUUCUUGAGUGCAGAAGAGGAGAGUGGAAUUCCAUGUGUAGCGGUGAAAUGCGUAGAUAUAUGGAGGAACACCAGUGGCGAAGGCGGCCCCCUGGACAAAGACUGACGCUCAGGUGCGAAAGCGUGGGGAGCAAACAG